rnacentral:rRNA from 1 species
AGCAGUCGCCACGGUAAUACGGAGGGGGCUAGCGUUGUUCGGAAUUACUGGGCGUAAAGCGCACGUAGGCGGCUUUGUAAGUUAGAGGUGAAAUCCCCGGGCUCAACCUGGGACCUGCAUUUGUGACUGUAUAGCUAGAGUACGGUAGAGGGGGAUGGAAUUCCGCGUGUAGCAGUGAAAUGCGUAGAUAUGCGGAGGAACACCGAUGGCGAAGGCAGGUCUCUGGGCAUUAACUGACGCUGAGGAGCGAAAGCAUGGGGAGCGAACAGGAUUAGAUACCCCUGUAGUCCCUGUCUCUUAUAC